rfam:Ictidomys tridecemlineatus contig046720, whole genome shotgun sequence.
UGGGUUGUGGCUCAGCGGUAGAGCACUCGCCUGCCAUGUGUGAGGCCCUGGUUCGAUCCUCAGCACCACAU